rnacentral:rRNA from 1 species
GCUUAUCACCAUCCAGAUUGAAUAUACCCCAUCUCCUCUGAUCUCGGAAGUCAAGCAAUCUCGGGUCUGGUUAGUACUUGAAUGGGUGACCGCUUGGGAAUACCAAGUGUGAUAAGCA